rnacentral:rRNA from 1 species
UACGGAGGAUCCGAGCGUUAUCCGGAUUUAUUGGGUUUAAAGGGUGCGUAGGCGGUUUGAUAAGUUAGAGGUGAAAUGUCGGGGCUCAACCCCGAAACUGCCUCUAAUACUGUUGGACUAGAGAAUAGUUGCGGUAGGCGGAAUGUAUGGUGUAGCGGUGAAAUGCUUAGAGAUCAUACAGAACACCGAUUGCGAAGGCAGCUUACCAAACUAUAUCUGACAUUGAGGCACGAAAGCGUGGGUAGCAAACAGG